UCUCUGGUAGUAUAGUGGUCAGUAUGUGAGCUUGUCAAGCUGGGCUUUCUAGUAAAAAGUCCCCUGACUUCGCUCGAGACCCGGGUUCAAUUCCCGGCCGGAGAG